GGUUAAGCGACUAAGCGUACACGGUGGAUGCCCUGGCAGUCAGAGGCGAUGAAGGACGUGCUAAUCUGCGAUAAGCGUCGGUAAGGUGAUAUGAACCGUUAUAACCGGCGAUUUCCGAAUGGGGAAACCCAGUGUGAUUCGUCACACUAUCAUUAACUGAAUCCAUAGGUUAAUGAGGCGAACCGGGGGAACUGAAACAUCUAAGUACCCCGAGGAAAAGAAAUCAACCGAGAUUCCCCCAGUAGCGGCGAGCGAACGGGGAGGAGCCCAGAGCCUGAAUCAGUGUGUGUGUUAGUGGAAGCGUCUGGAAAGGCGCGCGAUACAGGGUGACAGCCCCGUACACAAAAAUGCACAUGCUGUGAGCUCGAUGAGUAGGGCGGGACACGUGGUAUCCUGUCUGAAUAUGGGGGGACCAUCCUCCAAGGCUAAAUACUCCUGACUGACCGAUAGUGAACCAGUACCGUGAGGGAAAGGCGAAAAGAACCCCGGCGAGGGGAGUGAAAAAGAACCUGAAACCGUGUACGUACAAGCAGUGGGAGCACGCUUCGGCGUGUGACUGCGUACCUUUUGUAUAAUGGGUCAGCGACUUAUAUUCUGUAGCAAGGUUAACCGAAUAGGGGAGCCGAAGGGAAACCGAGUCUUAACUGGGCGUUAAGUUGCAGGGUAUAGACCCGAAACCCGGUGAUCUAGCCAUGGGCAGGUUGAAGGUUGGGUAACACUAACUGGAGGACCGAACCGACUAAUGUUGAAAAAUUAGCGGAUGACUUGUGGCUGGGGGUGAAAGGCCAAUCAAACCGGGAGAUAGCUGGUUCUCCCCGAAAGCUAUUUAGGUAGCGCCUCGUGAAUUCAUCUCCGGGGGUAGAGCACUGUUUCGGCAAGGGGGUCAUCCCGACUUACCAACCCGAUGCAAACUGCGAAUACCGGAGAAUGUUAUCACGGGAGACACACGGCGGGUGCUAACGUCCGUCGUGAAGAGGGAAACAACCCAGACCGCCAGCUAAGGUCCCAAAGUCAUGGUUAAGUGGGAAACGAUGUGGGAAGGCCCAGACAGCCAGGAUGUUGGCUUAGAAGCAGCCAUCAUUUAAAGAAAGCGUAAUAGCUCACUGGUCGAGUCGGCCUGCGCGGAAGAUGUAACGGGGCUAAACCAUGCACCGAAGCUGCGGCAGCGACACUAUGUGUUGUUGGGUAGGGGAGCGUUCUGUAAGCCUGUGAAGGUGUACUGUGAGGUAUGCUGGAGGUAUCAGAAGUGCGAAUGCUGACAUAAGUAACGAUAAAGCGGGUGAAAAGCCCGCUCGCCGGAAGACCAAGGGUUCCUGUCCAACGUUAAUCGGGGCAGGGUGAGUCGACCCCUAAGGCGAGGCCGAAAGGCGUAGUCGAUGGGAAACAGGUUAAUAUUCCUGUACUUGGUGUUACUGCGAAGGGGGGACGGAGAAGGCUAUGUUGGCCGGGCGACGGUUGUCCCGGUUUAAGCGUGUAGGCUGGUUUUCCAGGCAAAUCCGGAAAAUCAAGGCUGAGGCGUGAUGACGAGGCACUACGGUGCUGAAGCAACAAAUGCCCUGCUUCCAGGAAAAGCCUCUAAGCAUCAGGUAACAUCAAAUCGUACCCCAAACCGACACAGGUGGUCAGGUAGAGAAUACCAAGGCGCUUGAGAGAACUCGGGUGAAGGAACUAGGCAAAAUGGUGCCGUAACUUCGGGAGAAGGCACGCUGAUAUGUAGGUGAAGCGACUUGCUCGUGGAGCUGAAAUCAGUCGAAGAUACCAGCUGGCUGCAACUGUUUAUUAAAAACACAGCACUGUGCAAACACGAAAGUGGACGUAUACGGUGUGACGCCUGCCCGGUGCCGGAAGGUUAAUUGAUGGGGUUAGCGCAAGCGAAGCUCUUGAUCGAAGCCCCGGUAAACGGCGGCCGUAACUAUAACGGUCCUAAGGUAGCGAAAUUCCUUGUCGGGUAAGUUCCGACCUGCACGAAUGGCGUAAUGAUGGCCAGGCUGUCUCCACCCGAGACUCAGUGAAAUUGAACUCGCUGUGAAGAUGCAGUGUACCCGCGGCAAGACGGAAAGACCCCGUGAACCUUUACUAUAGCUUGACACUGAACAUUGAGCCUUGAUGUGUAGGAUAGGUGGGAGGCUUUGAAGUGUGGACGCCAGUCUGCAUGGAGCCGACCUUGAAAUACCACCCUUUAAUGUUUGAUGUUCUAACGUUGGCCCGUGAUCCGGGUUGCGGACAGUGUCUGGUGGGUAGUUUGACUGGGGCGGUCUCCUCCUAAAGAGUAACGGAGGAGCACGAAGGUUGGCUAAUCCUGGUCGGACAUCAGGAGGUUAGUGCAAUGGCAUAAGCCAGCUUGACUGCGAGCGUGACGGCGCGAGCAGGUGCGAAAGCAGGUCAUAGUGAUCCGGUGGUUCUGAAUGGAAGGGCCAUCGCUCAACGGAUAAAAGGUACUCCGGGGAUAACAGGCUGAUACCGCCCAAGAGUUCAUAUCGACGGCGGUGUUUGGCACCUCGAUGUCGGCUCAUCACAUCCUGGGGCUGAAGUAGGUCCCAAGGGUAUGGCUGUUCGCCAUUUAAAGUGGUACGCGAGCUGGGUUUAGAACGUCGUGAGACAGUUCGGUCCCUAUCUGCCGUGGGCGCUGGAGAACUGAGGGGGGCUGCUCCUAGUACGAGAGGACCGGAGUGGACGCAUCACUGGUGUUCGGGUUGUCAUGCCAAUGGCACUGCCCGGUAGCUAAAUGCGGAAGAGAUAAGUGCUGAAAGCAUCUAAGCACGAAACUUGCCCCGAGAUGAGUUCUCCCUGACUCCCUGAGAGUCCUGAAGGAACGUUGAAGACGACGACGUUGAUAGGCCGGGUGUGUAAGCGCAGCGAUGCGUUGAGCUAACCGGUACUAAUGAACCGUGAGGCUUAACCUU
rnacentral:rRNA from 1 species